CAAUUGGACUUAAUUGUUGGCUGUAGUCAAGACAACGCCAAAUUCAAAGUGAAGUGUGACAAAAAUAAAAUGAAGUAAAGAAAAGAAAAAAAAUACCAGCUGCCCUGCGGCAUGCAGACGCAUUGCCCUUCCACCAAGCAAAAUGGCAGAGGAGGACGGGACUACAACCGAGUGGGUCUCUGACAGGACGAGCAGUACUCAAUGGCGUUCCGAACCGAGUUGGCAGAGGCGCGCCAGCAGCAGCAGCGGCGGUACGAGAGAGACCUGAGCCACUUCAAGGCCAAGGAGAGAGAACGCGAGCAGGAACGGCGGGAGCGGUGGCUAGCCAGGCACAGGCUGGCGGGGUCGCCGGGGCUGGGCCAAGGAUCCGCCUCCAGGCUGGGGUACCGGCUCAACGGCCAGCCCCGCGGUGCCUCCACC